rfam:Callithrix jacchus chromosome 19, whole genome shotgun sequence
GCUAGGUGUGGUGGCACGUGCCUGUAGUACUAGCUACUUGGGAGGCUGAGGCUGGAGGAUUGCUUGAGUCCAGGAGUUCUGGGCUGUAGUGUGCUAUGCAGGUGACCACACUAAGUUCUGCAUCAAUAUGGUGACCUCCUGGGAGCGGGGGCCCACCAGGUUGCCUAAGGAGGGGUGAACCAGCCCAGGUCGGAAACGGAGCAGGUCAAAACUCCCGUGCUGAUCAGUAGUGGGAUCGUGCCUGUGAAUAGCCACUGCACUCCAGCCUGGGCAACAUCACAAGACCCUGUCUCUU